UACGUAGGGGGCAAGCGUUGUCCGGAUUUAUUGGGCGUAAAGAGCGUGUAGGCGGCCAUACAGGUCCGUUGUGAAAACUGGAGGCUUAACCUCCAGACGUCGAUGGAAACCGUAUGGCUAGAGUCCGGAAGAGGAGAGUGGAAUUCCUGGUGUAGCGGUGAAAUGCGCAGAUAUCAGGAAGAACACCAAUGGCGAAAGCAGCUUUCUGGGACGGUACUGACGCUGAGACGCGAAAGCGUGGGGAGCGAACAGG
rnacentral:rRNA from 1 species